UACAGAGGUCCCGAGCGUUGUUCGGAUUCAUUGGGCGUAAAGGGUGCGUAGGCGGCGGGGCAAGUCUGAUGUGAAAUCCCGGGGCUCAACCCCGGAACUGCAUUGGAUACUGCCUUGCUUGAGUACUGGAGAGGAGACUGGAAUUUACGGUGUAGCGGUGAAAUGCGUAGAUAUCGUAAGGAAGACCAGUGGCGAAGGCGAGUCUCUGGACAGUUACUGACGCUGAGGCACGAAGGCCAGGGGAGCAAACGGG
rnacentral:rRNA from 1 species